UAGUGAGUUUGAUCCUGGCUCAGGAUGAACGCUAGCGGCAGGCCUAAUACAUGCAAGUCGAACGGGUGUAGCAAUACACUAGUGGCGCACGGGUGCGUAACGCGUAACCAACCUGCCCGAAACUGGGGGAUAGCCCGCCGAAAGGCGGAUUAAUACCGCAUAACCCAACAACACGGCAUCGUGUAAUUGGUAAAGAUUUAUUGGUUUCGGAUGGGGUUGCGUGACAUUAGCUAGAUGGCGGGUAACGGCCG
rnacentral:rRNA from 1 species